UAUAUAAAAGGAUAGUGGGCAGGGUUAGCAGGGGCCUGUGAAAAGAGGGGUUGUGAGGGAGGAAAGAGCCCUUUCAGGAGAAGGAGGCUGUUGUUUUGUGAAUUAGAUGAGGAAACAAGAUGAACAAGAUCUGUUAACUCAGGAAGCGGGAGAGAGAGAGAGAGAGAGAGAGAGAGAGAGAAAGAGAGAGAGAGAGAAGGGAGGGGAAGAAAGACAGAGGUUAAGAGCGAGUGGAGGAGAGAGAAAGAGAAAAAAAGAAGGGAGAGGAAGAGAGAAAGAAGGAAGGGUGUGGGUCAGGCACGAGCCUGUCAGCAGCCUGAGGGGGUCAGCCUGAAGUGGCCACGGUGGCAGCAGCAGCAAGGAAGGGCCCAGUCAACCACUGCUGCUGUUUGGGACUACCGAGGCCAUGGGUGGAGGGAGGCAAUCAGGCAGGGACAGGCCCGGGCCUGUCAGUGGCUUGAGGGAAACAGCGGCCAUGGCCGUGGUGGCAGAGAAGAAGGGCCUGGUCAACCACUGCUGCUGCUGUUGCUGCUGCUUCUGUAGGGAGGAGGAGCAGGAGUGGGGCUUGGGUGAAGGUGGGGAGGUCUCUGGAGAUAGGGGGCUGCAGCUUGGCCAAUAGGCAUCAGCAGCACUGCAGCCCCGACCAAGAGGGGUGAGGGGGAUGGAAGCAAUUGGAUGGAGGAGGAGCAGGAGUGCGGCUCAGAUGAGGGUGGAGAUCUCUCUGAGAAUGAUGUCUGAGGUGGCUUGCUGACAGGUGGCCCAGGAGACAGUAUGGCUGAAAUGAAUUGAGAAAUUGGCCCUGAGCGAAGAAGCAAGAAUCCAAGGGAAGGACAGAUGAAAGCGUGAGCAUACACAAGGAGCAGGAGAAAAGAAACCCAGGGUGAAAGGGACAAAGAAAAAGGACUCGAUGAAAAGGUUUACACAACAAUUAGGAGGGAGAUGAUACAAGGCGAAAUUAUCAUGAUCAUCCUGAAUAUAUCACUUUUUAACAAAAAGGUCUCAAAGUGGCUAUAGCAAGAGGAACAGUGAAGAAGCCAUUGUGCUGGGGAGUCAGGAAAUGGAGGGCAAAGAAGCCAAGUGGAUGUAGGUAUGAAUUUCUCAGACUGAUUUAUAACUUGCCAAAUCUUUGGCUUCAGGGCACUUGUAACAUUAUUAGUAAGUUAGUUUCAAAGCAAAUAUGAGAGUUAAUUUCUAUAUUUUGAUAGCAGCCGAACAACUUCCCUCUUUAGGCAGAUAUCCAUGGAAUUUUCUUUGAGUAGCUGCAGACUUUUGACACAAGAAUAAUACCUUUACUUCUGUUUCUCUCUGCAACUCAAAAUUAGUUCUAGGUCACAACAAAGUGGGAUGAAUAACUGGGGGAGCUGGGAUAAAAACUGUGCCUCUCUAAGCAGAAACCCACGGAUAAUUACUAGAGAACAGAAUUGCACGUAGCAAUGGACUUAAUUUUGUAUCCAGAUCUAUUCCAUCUCUUGUAGUUAAUAUUAAAGCUUUUCAAGGUCAGGAAUGACAGACUGGUAAUGAUGAGCCUGAGGAAGGCUUAUGUUAAACUUGUCCUCAGUGCUCAGGUUAAUCUUUUCAUUUGUGUUUUCCUCAUAAAUAAAUACAUAAAAAGACA